AGGAAAGCAGGGGAUCGCAAGACCUUGCGCUUUUGGAGCGGCCGAUGUCUGAUUAGCUAGUUGGUGAGGUAAAGGCUUACCAAGGCUUCGAUCAGUAGCUGGUCUGAGAGGACGACCAGCCACACUGGGACUGAGACACGGCCCAGACUCCUACGGGAGGCAGCAGUGGGGAAUUUUGGACAAUGGGGGAAACCCUGAUCCAGCCAUGCCGCGUGAGUGAAGAAGGCCUUCGGGUUGUAAAGCUCUUUCAGCCGGAACGAAAAGGUUACGGUUAAUACCCGUGACUAAUGACGGUACCGGAAGAAGAAGCACCGGCUAACUACGUGCCAGCAGCCGCGGUAAUACGUAGGGUGCGAGCGUUAAUCGGAAUUACUGGGCGUAAAGCGUGCGCAGGCGGUUUUGUAAGUCAGAUGUGAAAUCCCCGGGCUCAACCUGGGAACUGCGUUUGAAACUACAAAGCU
rnacentral:rRNA from 1 species